GACGGAGGGUGCUAGCGUUGUUCGGAAUGACUGGGCGUAAAGGGCGCGUAGGUGGCCUGAUAAGUAGGAGGUGAAAUCCUGGGGCUUAACCUCAGGGCUGCCUUCUAGACUGUCCGGCUCGAGCACAGUAGAGGCAGGUGGAAUUCCCGGUGUAGCGGUGGAAUGCGUAGAGAUCGGGAAGAACAUCGGUGGCGAAGGCGGCCUGCUGGGCUGUUGCUGACACUGAGGCGCGACAGCGUGGGGAGCAAACAGG
rnacentral:rRNA from 1 species